rnacentral:lncRNA from 10 species
GCACAUGAGGAAAUUUUGCUUUGUUACUGUCUCUAACAUCUUCUUUCCCUAGCGCCUCUCUCCCUUGCAAGAAGUCAGAGCCUCCAUGCUGCUGUGGGAUCCAUCAGGGAUCCCGUUACAGAGACCACCAUCAUCAAUUUCACAUGCUUACAAUCCCCCACAAACUCUCUACCGUUGACCUAUUUUAGAUCUUUUUCUUUCAAGUCCCUACUUUAAGUUAAUUAGGGUGAAUCUACUCCAAUAUGACUGACGUCCUUAUAAGAAGAAUAGAAGAGAGGUAGACAGAUAAAGUGAGAAUAUCAUGUGAUAGUAGCAGAGACUGGAGUGAUGCAGUUGCAAGCUAAGAAACACCCGGGACUGAAUGACACCACUAGAAGCCAGGAAAAGGCAGGUAAUACAUAUAGAGAUAUCUAUAGAAACAUGUAUAUACACGGACUAGUACACAGACAUAUUUCUGUGCUCUUUCAGCUGAGAUUGCCUAAAAGACCUGACACCCCAGCAGCAACAAGCACACCUCACAUCCAGAUCUUGGUUUUGGUUACCAUUCUCUAAUAAAAGGAAACAGAGCUCCUUGGAGAAAUGGUGAUUUAUGCUAGGAUUGGGUCAGGAAAUACACAAGAUCAGUCUGAAAGGGAUUGUAGAGCCAUAAAGGAAGAAAAUCCUUUUUUAAAAAGCACCCCACAUUGAUGGGGAGUACGUGAAAAGAAAAUAGGAGCCAACUGAAAAGAACUCCCACAGGCCAAAGAUGGAAUAAUUUGAGUAACAAAAUAAAAUAGUAUUGACUUAUAACCCAGAGUAUAAAAUAAAUGUCAAUAGAUUCAUACUGAUAUGAAUAAACAAUUGAAUAAAUAAAUAAAUGAAAGAGAAGAGCCAGAUCUCCUAUGCAGAAGAAUUUCGAAUAAUUUAUGUAAAUUUUUCCCUCCAGGAGAGAGAUCAUAACUCCAAACUUCUUAAGUGUGGGUUACACACAGUGACUUCCUUUUCUAAGAGUACAGUAUGGAGAAGAAUAAAAGACAUAACUUUAUAGUUAUCAGGGAAACCUGAUAACACCACCUCCCAGGUGAGUAAGGUCAAUAUCAGCAGUCACAUAUCAUGUUGAUUGUAUAAAUCAUUGAUAAUAUUAUAGAUAUGAUGUAAUGAGGAUAACCCUUUGCCUUUGUGGUCUUCAUUCCAAUAGCCCAUAACUCCAGUUUCACCAUGAGGAAAACACAAAACUAACUCCAAUAUUGGGAGAAUCUAUAAAAUACCUGGCCAGAACUCAAAACCUUCAAGGUCAUCAAAAACAAGGAAAGCCUGAGGAACUGUCACAGCCAAGAGGAACCUCAAAAUACAAGACAGCAAAAUGUACUGUGAUAUCUUGGAUGGGAUACUAGAACAGGGAAAGCAUGUCAGGUAAUAUCUAAGGAAAUGUACAUAAACUACUUAGGUGAACAGUUUUUCCCCAACCCCUUCUGUGAGAUUAUCUCAUACAUUUGUAAUGCAGUUAGAUUGUUGAGUCAGAGUCUGAAUUACUUCCUGGGAUUUCCUUGAUUUCCUAAAUGAUUUUAUAAAUUUGCAUGCAAUUAGAUUGACUCUUUGUACUGUAAAAUUCUGUACAUUUUGACAAAUGCACCAUUAAAGUAUUAUGCAGAAUAAUUACUAUUCUAAAAGUCCCCUGUGCCUCUUCUCUACACCCUUGAUUCUCUGGCAGCCACUGAUCAUUCCAUGUCUCUAUAAUUUUGUCUUUUACAGGAUGCUAUAAAAUUGGAAUCAUACAAUAUGUAGCCUUUCUGGACGAGCUUCUUU